GGGUCAGUAGGUUGGUCGUGCCACUGGUAUGCACUGGCCUUACUGAUUCCUCCUUCUUGAAGAACUGCGAUGUCAUUAACUUGGUGUUGCAGGGAAACAGGACUGUUACUUUGAAAAAAUUAGAGUGUUUAAAGCAGGCAAUCGCUUGGAUACAUUAGCAUGGAAUAAUAAAAUAGGACGUGUGGUUCUAUUUUGUUGGUUUCUAGAAUCGCCGUA
rnacentral:rRNA from 1 species